rnacentral:piRNA from 1 species
UUUGAAAUCAGGACUGUUCUCGAAAUUCCACC